AUUGAACGCUGGCGGCAGGCCUAACACAUGCAAGUCGAACGGUAACAGGAAGAAGCUUGCUUCUUUGCUGACGAGUGGCGGACGGGUGAGUAAUGUCUGGGAAACUGCCUGAUGGAGGGGGAUAACUACUGGAAACGGUAGCUAAUACCGCAUAACGUCGCAAGACCAAAGAGGGGGACCUUCGGGCCUCUUGCCAUCGGAUGUGCCCAGAUGGGAUUAGCUAGUAGGUGGGGUAACGGCUCACCUAGGCGACGAUCCCUAGCUGGUCUGAGAGGAUGACCAGCCACACUGGAACUGAGACACGGUCCAGACUCCUACGGGAGGCAGCAGUGGGGAAUAUUGCACAAUGGGCGCAAGCCUGAUGCAGCCAUGCCGCGUGUAUGAAGAAGGCCUUCGGGUUGUAAAGUACUUUCAGCGGGGAGGAAGGGAGUAAAGUUAAUACCUUUACUCAUUGACGUUACCCGCAGAAGAAGCACCGGCUAACUCCGUGCCAGCAGCCGCGGUAAUA
rnacentral:rRNA from 1 species